AACGAACGCUGGCGGCAUGCCUAACACAUGCAAGUCGAACGAGACCUUCGGGUCUAGUGGCGCACGGGUGCGUAACGCGUGGGAACCUGCCCUUAGGUUCGGAAUAACUCCCCGAAAGGGGUGCUAAUACCGGAUAAUGUCUUCGGACCAAAGAUUUAUCGCCUUUGGAUGGGCCCGCGUUGGAUUAGCUAGUUGGUAGGGUAAAAGCCUACCAAGGCGACGAUCCAUAGCUGGUCUGAGAGGAUGAUCAGCCACACUGGGACUGAGACACGGCCCAGACUACUACGGGAGGCAGCAGUGGGGAAUAUUGGAAAAUGAGCGAAAGCAUGAUCCAGCAAUGCCGCGUGAGUGAUGAAGGCCUUAGGGUUGUAAAGCUCUUUUACCCGGGAUGAUAAUGACAGUACCGGGAGAAUAAGCUCCGGCUAACUCCGUG
rnacentral:rRNA from 1 species